rnacentral:tmRNA from 1 species
GGGCCCGACCGGAAUUGACAGGAUGGAGAUAAGUAGGUAAGCAUGCAGUGCGUUGGGUGAAUUAGCACUUUAAUCUGAACAUUCAAACUUUCAAAUGGCGAAAAUAACUACGCCUUAGCUGCCUAAUUUAGAAUUAGCCUAGCUUUCGUUCCGAUGGUUUGCGGUUUCUUAGAGCCAUCAUCAGGAACGUCGAAAUAAGAAACUGGUUUGCUGCCGGUGUGAUCAGCAAACAAGAUAAAGCACCUACGGAAGAUGGUACAGGUUCGCGGCUGACCUUCCCCUUCCCGACAAUUAAACAGCAGAUAAGCAUGUAGAAGGCUUACCUUAUACCAUGUUUGGACGAGAGUUCGAAUCUCUCCGGGUCCACAA